GACGAAUCUAUUGUCCACCAAGCCCGCAGCUUACCGGUUGCGGGGGAGGGUGGCGAAAAGAGGAAUCU
rnacentral:ncRNA from 1 species